rnacentral:rRNA from 1 species
UCAGGAUGAACGCUGGCGGCGUGCCUAACACAUGCAAGUCGAGCGUGAAACCCAUGAACAAGAUUCGGUCAAGGAAUGGUGGGAAGCGGCGGACGGGUGAGUAACGCGUAGGCAACCUGCCCCAUACAGAGGGAUAGCCACGGGAAACUGUGAUUAAUACCUCAUAAUGCAAGAGGUCCUCAUGGAUCAUUUGCCAAAGAUUUAUCGGUAUGGGAUGGGCCUGCGUCUGAUUAGCUGGUUGGUGAGGUAACGGCUCACCAAGGCAACGAUCAGUAGCCGACCUGAGAGGGUAAUCGGCCACAUUGGAACUGAGACACGGUCCAAACUCCUACGGGAGGCAGCAGUGGGGAAUAUUGCACAAUGGGCGAAAGCCUGAUGCAGCAACGCCGCGUGAGCGAUGAAGGCCUUUGGGUCGUAAAGCUCUGUCCUUGGGGAAGAAACAAAUGACGGUACCCUUGGAGGAAGCCCCGGCUAACUACGUGCCAGCAGCGGC